CAUUGGUGGAGACAACACAGACGGGCAGAGUUGAGGCAUCUCGAGUGUGAGAGACCUGAAACCUCACUGCUGUCAGUUGCGCCCUAUUGCUGGAUUGCCUGCGACUUCUGGCUGUCUGCUGAGGAGAGCAAGUGGCCAACAGCUAGGGCAAGAUGAAGCUCUCUCUGGUGGCUGCGGUUCUGCUG
rnacentral:other from 1 species